UUGUGCUAAAAGUGAGGAUCAAACAAUUCCCUUCUUAUGUAGGAGAUGGUCUUUACUUACCCUGGCAUGCCUAGUGAUACUUUUAAAUUAAUAUUUAAAUUAGUAAAUGUUGCAAAUUUUACACCCCUCCGCAAUUCUCUGCAAGAUCCUCUUGGGAUGGAAAGGAGAGGGUCCUGAGGUUACUGACAGCACCUCACCUGCACUGAGGAACAAACCAAGCUUUAAAGAUGGCCUUGUGCUUUUGUUAGUUACCUGCCUGGCUGCUCCAGCUCCCUCAGCCUCUCUGUUUGGCCUGACUUUGGUUUUCAGGUACAGACCUGUGUGAAUAAGGUCACAAAAUGCUUGGCUCCAUUUCACUGGAUAAAGGAAGGAUUGGAAACUGCGUUGGUCAGUGAAGACUUUAAUACCUGUUCCAGUCUGGGAAGGCUCAUUCCGCUCAGGUUUGGAUACUGGAAAUGCAACUCAACCAAAUGUGUGCAGCGAGUCCCAAAUGCACCCUCUGAAGUCCCACUGAACCACUCAGUGAGAAGAGAGAACAAGAGACACCUGCACAGAAUGAUUCAUUCUGUGCCUGUUCAACACUGCUCUGGAUGGAACAAAUCUCCUUGCUGGGUGUUGUCUCUCUCCAUCAAUUCUCAACAGAAGUUAGACAACCAGUUCUGAGCAGAAGCCCAAUUUACGGGUGCCACGUGAGAUGAAUUCUACCGUAGAUGACUAAUUUUUCUCAUUCAUCAUACCUGCUUUUGGCCUGUAGAAGUUGGGCUUGUAACAAAGUUAGUCACUUUAGUUCUGUCUUUGUACAACGGCGAUUCCCUCCCCUCGCAAUCUGGAGACUGAUAGCUGAGGUGAAUUGACCUUGGAUGAUGUUUAUCUUUGUCUGAGCCCUGCAAACUCCUCAUGAACACGUGUGCUCCUCCUUUGCACUUGCUGGGCUGUCUGAAAAUGGAAUGUGGAACUAUUAAAUGACAUUGUGCAAACUUA